rnacentral:rRNA from 1 species
CGGAGGGUGCAAGCGUUGUCCGGAUUUAUUGGGUUUAAAGGGUGCGUAGGCGGUCUUUUAAGUCAGUGGUGAAAUCCUGCAGCUCAACUGUAGAACAGCCAUUGAUACUGAAAGACUUGAGUACAGACGAGGUAGGCGGAAUUUAUGGUGUAGCGGUGAAAUGCAUAGAUACCAUAAAGAACCCCUAUUGCGAAGGCAGCUUACUAGGCUGUAACUGACGCUGAGGCACGAAAGCGUGGGGAUCAAACAGGAUUAGAUACCCUGGUAGUCCACGCCGUAAACGUUGAUUACUCGAUGUUCGCGAUAUACAGUGAGCGUCCAAGCGAAAGCGUUAAGUAAUCCACCUGGGAAGUACGAUCGCAAGAUUG